rnacentral:rRNA from 1 species
CCUACGGGAGGCAGCAGUGAGGAAUAUUGGUCAAUGGACGAGAGUCUGAACCAGCCAAGUAGCGUGAAGGAUGACUGCCCUAUGGGUUGUAAACUUCUUUUAUAUGGGAAUAAAAUGUUCCACGUGUGGGAUUUUGUAUGUACCAUAUGAAUAAGGAUCGGCUAACUCCGUGCCAGCAGCCGCGGUAAUACGGAGGAUCCGAGCGUUAUCCGGAUUUAUUGGGUUUAAAGGGAGCGUAGGUGGAUUGUUAAGUCAGUUGUGAAAGUUUGCGGCUCAACCGUAAAAUUGCAGUUGAAACUGGCAGUCUUGAGUACAGUAGAGGUGGGCGGAAUUCGUGGUGUAGCGGUGGAAUGCUUAGAUAUCACGAAGAACUCCGAUUGCGAAGGCAGCUCACUGGACUGCAACUGACACUGAGGCUCGAAAGUGUGGGUAUCAAACAGGAUUAGAUACCCGUGUAGUC